GUAGGUGAACCUGCGGAAGGAUCAUUAAAAGACCCUUAUCGGGGGUAGGACCCAAAGUGUAGUAGAUGGUUGUCGAGUGUAACGCUCCAGCCUCCCCUCUUUGCCCUGCCCUUGCUGAAUCUACCCAUGUUUUACGCAUCAUUGUUUCCUCAGCGGGCUUGCCUGCUGGAAAUACACCCUUUGUAAUUGCAGUCAGCGUCAGAAAAACAUAAUUAUUACAACUUUCAACAACGGAUCUCUUGGUUCUG
rnacentral:misc_RNA from 1 species